rnacentral:misc_RNA from 1 species
GAUGAAGAACGUAGUGAAAUGCGAUAAUUAAUGUGAAUUGCAGAAUUCAGUGAAUCAUCGAGUCUUUGAACGCACAUUGCGCCCCCUGGUAUUCCGGGGGGCAUGCCUGUCCGAGCGUCAUUGCUGCCCUCAAGCACGGCUUGUGUGUUGGGCUUCCGUCCCUGGCAACGGGGACGGGCCCAAAAGGCAGUGGCGGCACCAUGUCUGGUCCUCGAGCGUAUGGGGCUUUGUCACCCGCUCCCGUAGGUCCAGCUGGCAGCUAGCCUCGCAACCAAUCUUUUUAACCAGGUUGACCUCGGAUCAGGUAGGGAUACCCGCUGAACUUAAGCAUAUCAAUAAGUGGAGGA